UAUAAGUAGCACUCAAACAUUGAGGAAGAAUGAACAGAGCUUCAGAGAACUCAGACAUAAAGAAAUUGGCGGGAGGAUACUGAAUUUGUAUCAGAAUGGGAUAUACAAACAGCAUUGGGAAGUACCAACUGAUUCGAAUGAUCGGAGAAGACAUGUUCGCGAAGGUCAAGCUGGCCGUAAACACAGACAAUGGUCAGUAAGUUGCAAUCAAGAUCAUCGAUAAGCAAAUGGUCGUAAAAAGAAAUAUCAUGUACCAGGUGAAGAGAGAAAUAAGAACAAUGAAGCUUCUGAAUCAUCCAAACAUUGUCAAAAUACACGAGGUAAUCGGCACAAAGACAAAAAUUUACAUGGUAAUGGACUAAGUAUCAGGAGGGCAGCUAUCUGAUAAGAUGGUGAGAUUCAACUAGUUGACUAUUGGAAGCCAAAACUGGUGUUUGGGAGAUCUUACAAACAAUUAUAAUCACCUGGGAAAAAAAAUUCACAGUUAUAUAUGUUAAAAGGGUUUGAUGAAAGAGGGGCAAGUAAACACUUUCAGCUGUUACUCGAUGCUGUAGACUAUUGUCUUUACAGAGGGGUUUACCAAGAUCUAAAGGUCAGAAUGAAACUAUCCUGCUCAAGUCUUCUUUUCACA